rnacentral:lncRNA from 1 species
GCCCGGCCAAUCCUGCCGCCGCCACCCACCCGCAACCGCGUCCGUUGACGGUCGGGUCCUUGGUCGCCGGGUCCUUGCGGGCACCACAGAGCGGGGUGGCGUCCGCUCCCUCGAGUCCUCGGUGCCAGGGAAUUCACCGCUCACCACCCCCUGCCCCGCCUUGGGUCCUGCUCGGGGACCAAACCACUGGAAGGCAGUGGCGGGAAACGGGCGCCUGUGCCGGAGAUAAUCCUGAUGUAAACCAUUGACAUAGCCAGAAAAUCACCAGGCUGUGAUUUUCCAAACUCAGCUUCAUAACCUAUUCUGUAGUUGAGGGAACAUGAGCCAUUUGCAGAGCUUAUUGUUAGACACCCUCUUGGGAACCAAGCAUGUGGACAGUGCAGCCCUCAUCAAAAUCCAGGAGCGGAGCUUGUGUGUAGCAUCACCAGGUUUCAAUGUAACGCCCAGUGAUGUCCGAACACUGGUGAAUGGAUUUGCCAAGAACCCUUUGCAAGCCCGAAGAGAAGGACUGUAUUUCAAGGGAAAAGAUUACAGAUGUGUCCGGGCAGAUGAAUAUUCUCUUUAUGCCAAAAAUGAGAACACUGGUGUGGUUGUCGUGAAGACCCAUCUGUAUCUUCUGGUAGCAACUUACACUGAGGGCAUGUAUCCUAGCAUCUGUGUGGAAGCCACAGAGAGCCUGGGAGACUACCUAAG